rnacentral:lncRNA from 1 species
UCUGCACGUGCAUAACUAUAUAAUUUCAUUUUGAACAAUGGAUUCUCGUGUCUAUAAAUCAUUACUAAGGCUAAUUUUUUUUCAACAAAUAGAUGGGUUCUUUCAGUGAGAAUUUGGUUUGGAAACUGGAAAUAUCAAGCAGCAAUUGAGGUGGCCAUGAAUGUCUAGUCCUCAAACUUUAAAACAAUAUUCUUAGAUGAUAAUGUUGCGAAUUUUGGAAAUGAAAGAGAGAGUCGAGCAAAAGGGACAUAGCUAAGUACAUAGAAAGUCAGCACUCGAACCUGCCAUCCACUCACUCGGCGUUGUUGACUCACCAUCUAAAACGGUUGAAGAACAAUGGUCAGGUACUCAUGAUGAAGAACUCUUGCAAGCUUCUUAGAUCUGCUACUGUACAUAGUAUUACAAAAUAUGAGUAUUUUCCAUUUCUUUGAUGACAAAUAUUUUCAUUUCCUUCUUUUAUUUCUUUGUUUGGUAGUUUUCAUUAGAAAUUUAUCAAAACAUAUUAAUUACUGAAUAUUGUUUAAUCUUCCUCCUUCCUUGAAUGCUAUUUUCAAAUACUUUAUAUUGUAUUACAAAAGGUGCACACAUUUCUGAGGUGUUUUGUACGUGCAUAACAAUAUAAUUUCAUCUUGAGAAACAUAUUCUCGUGUUUAUGACUCACUAUUUUAUUAAUCACAAUUGUUUUCAACAAAAAGAGUAGUUUGUACUGUGAGAAUUUGGUUUGGAAACUGAAAAUAAUAAUCUGCAAUUGGGACAUGAAUGUCUAGUCCUCAAACUUUACAACAAUGUUCUUAGAUGAUAACGAUGACAAUUUGGCUAUUGAAGUCGAGCAAAAGGGGGACAUAGGUAAGUACAUACUCAGUACUUGAACCUCCUACCCAUUUGCUUGGCGCACCAUCUAAAACGAUUGAAGAACAAUGGUGUGGUACUCAUGAUGAAGAUUUCUUUGACAUCCUAAUAUUUUUUCAUUUCCUUUUUUGUAGUUCUUUGUUUGGUAGUAUUUGUUACAAAUUUAUAAAAGAGAUUGAUUAAUGAAUACUGUGUUAAUCUUCCUUCUUUCCGUGAAUGCUUUAUAUUGUACUAGAAAAGGUUCACAUAUUUCCAACAUGUUUAGCAGUUACAUAGCUAUAUAAUUUCAUCAUGAGAAACGGAUUAUCGUGUCUAUGAAUCACUAUGUUAUGAGGUACAAUUGUUUUCAACUAAAACAGAGUUUUGACAGUGAGAAUUUGGUUUGGAACUCUAAAUAUUAAUCUGCAAUUUGGGCCAUGCUUGUCUAAUUCUCAAACUUUAAAACAAUAUUUUUAGAUGACAACGAUGGCAAUUUGGAUAUUGAAGGAGAGAGCUGAGCAAAAGGGACAAAGCUAAGUACAUAGAGAGUGAGUACUUGAACCUCUGACCCAUUUGCUUGGCGUUGUUGUCUCACUAUCUGAUAUGGUUGAAAAGCAAUGGUCAGUUACUCAUGGUGGAAAACUCUUGCAAGCUACUUAGAUCUGCUACUGUACCUAUAACUGCAAAAUGCAGUAUUUUCCAUUUCUUUGAUGACAGUAUUUUUCAUUACCUUUCUUGUAUUUUUUUUUUUUUUAAAAUUUGGUAGCUAGUAUUUAUUACAAAUUUAUCAAAAAGAUUAAAAUCUUCUUCAUUUCCUUGAAUUGUAUUUUCAAAUGCUUUAUAUUGUACUAGAAAAUGCACACGAAUUUAGGAUGUGUCCUGCACGUGCCUAGCAAUAUAAUUUCAUCUUGAACAAUGGAUUAUAAGAAUCAUUAUGUUAUGAGGCUCAAUCAUUUUCAACAAAUAGACAGGUUCUUACAGCGAGAAUUUAAUUUGGAAACUGGAAAUACGAAGCUGCAAUUGGGGCGGCCAUGCACGUCUAGUCUUCAAAGUUUACAACAAAAUUUUUAGAUGAUAAUGGUGGAAAUUUGGGCAUUGAAGGAGAGAGUCGAGCAAAAAGGGACAUGGUUAAGUACAUAGGAGUGAGAACUCGAACCUUCCUUUCCCCCUCAUUCCCUCAGCGUUGUUGAUUCACCAUCUGAAAUGGUUGAAGAACAACGGUGAGGUGCUCAUGAUGAAGAACUCUUACAAGUUACAAGCUUCUUAGUUCUGGUACUGUACCCAUUACUGCAAAAUAUGGGUAUUUUCCAUUUCCUUGAUGACAUAGUAUUUUUUUAUUUCUUUAUUAAGUAGUAUUUGUUACAAAUUUAUCAAAAUAGAUUAAUUAAUGAAUAUGUGUUGAUAUUCCUUCUUUCUGUGAAUUCUAUUUCAAAAUGCUUUAUAUUGUUCUAGAAUAGGCACGUGCAUUUCGAUGUGUUGUGCACUUGCAUAACUAUAUAAAUUCAUCUUGAGCAACAGAUUCUUGUGUUUAUGAAUCACUAUGUUAUGAGGUCUCAAUUGUUUUCAAUCAGAGGUUCUUACAGUGAAAAUUUGGUGUGGAAACUGGAAAUAUUAAGCUGUAAUUGGGGCGGCCAUCAAUGUCUAGUCCUCAAACUUUACAACAAUAUUCUUAGAUGAUAAUGGCAGGAAUUUGGGCAAUGAAAGAGAUAGUCGAACAAAAGGGACAUAGCUAAGUACAUACAGAGGCGGUACUUGAACCUGCCACCCAUUCACUCGGUUUUGUUGAAUCACCAUCGGAAAUGGUUGAAGAACAAUGGUCAGGUACGCAUGAUAAAGAAAUCCUGCUUCUUAGAUCUGCUAUUGUACGUGUUACUGCAAAAUAUAAGUAUUUUCC